GAUGAAGAACGUAGCGAAAUGCGAUAAGUAAUGUGAAUUGCAGAAUUCAGUGAAUCAUCGAAUCUUUGAACGCACAUUGCGCCCCUUGGUAUUCCGUGGGGCAUGCCUGUUCGAGCGUCAUUUCAACCCUCAAGCUCAGCUUGGUAUUGAGUCCAUGUCAGUAAUGGCAGGCUCUAAAAUCAGUGGCGGCGCCGCUGGGUCCUGAACGUAGUAAUAUCUCUCGUUACAGGUUCUCGGUGUGCUUCUGCCAAAACCCAAAUUUUCUAUGGUUGACCUCGGAUCAGGUAGGGAUACCCGCUGAACUUAAGCAUAUCAAUAAGCGGAGGA
rnacentral:misc_RNA from 1 species